GGAGUUACUUUGGCCUCUUUAUUUUAGUUUCAAUGGAACAAAACUAAUUCAACUAGGACCUGAAGAUUUCCAGAUGAAGAAACUUUAAGAUUUUUUUCUUCUAUGAUCCCAAUUUACCCUUCUAGCUGAAGUCUCAUACAGUGAGAUGAUACUUUUCUCUCCACUGGUGGAUCGCUGAAAAGUGCAAAGGGGUGAAUGAUCCAGAAUUGAGCAUUGCCCUCUGGAUUGAACCCUGAUGAAAGAAACUACAGUAUUGACAGCUGGCAAGCCUUUGAAAGAGCUGAGAAGGUAUUAAAGCAAAUAGCUGCCUUUAAUCUGAAAGUAAAUCCAACUGAA